GGGUGCGAUCAUACCAGCAUUAAUGCAACGGAUCCCAUUAUAAUUUCACAGCUAAGCACGGUUGAGGUAUAAUAGUAUUGGGAUGGGUGACCUCCUGGGAAGUCAUAGUGUUGCACCCU
rfam:Picea glauca, whole genome shotgun sequence.